UGUGUCCCGGUGUCCUCGGCGGAGGGGAAAAAAAAAACCCGGCAAUUAAAGCGUACCACGCUCCGAGCGCUUGGCAGUGCCUUCCCUUUUGUCUGACUCACUGAGCCGGACUUAAUCGUCACUGGGAAAUGCCCGGGUUUGAUCCGUGUUCUCCAUUUUUAUUCCGUCUUGCCACUUCACCCGGAGCACUGUGCUAUAGAGGCGUAGGGCUGAAACACCCUUGCUGCAUAUCUCUCUUUUUUUGUGAGGGGCCCUCUUUUCUAGGGGACCAUGUUGAGAUAAAUAAGUAUUUGGGUCACCUAGCCAAUUCAGUCCUACCAUUGACGCAGUUCCCAGGUUUUAUUAUCGAUUUAAGUAUACUUCGGAUUUUUGUUCCAUAUGCUAUAUUAAAACCUGGAAUUAACAGGCAUACGUGUUUCAGCGUAGAUCACUUGAUUACCGUGUUCCAGUUUUAUUGCCCUUGGGAAUCAAGGAUUUGGUUGCUAUAUCAGUUCUUCUACUAACCUUGCUUUGCAGAGGUUAACCACCAGUGAAGGUGAGAUAUUUUUAUUCCUGCAUUUUGCAGUCGAUGAGAGACAGGGUUAGAUUGUCUGCCUUUGGGAGACUUGCUAUAACUUUUUUAAGACAAAGGAUUUAAUUGGCUUUUUGGAAACGCRUAGGCUGUGUAAAUGAAUGUGUUUAACAGUCUGAAGUUGCUUGUUUUAUUUUUCUUGAGAGAGUAAGAUCAAGUCUGAACUUAUUUCAGAAAUGCUCUUUGACUCUGAAGGCCUGUUGUACAUGUUAUUGCCAGUUAAUAUUCAGUAUCAAGUUUCAUGUGCAGUUUAACCAGAGUUGAGGGCCUUGUUUUGGAAACUACUUCUAAAGAUAGGAAUACAGAUUAAAAUUGACUGUUGCCCAUACUUCAAUGAUCUUUAUUCUUCUGUUUAACRAAUGCAUUUUGAAAGUAGGAACUGCUUAUAAUUAAUGGAAUUAGCAUCAAAAUGAUGCAUCACUGGAAAAAGUGGAAUUCUGUUGGAGUUUGAAAAAAUAAGCUAUGUUAAUUACCAGAAUUGUGUAGUAGAUAACAACUUCAUCUUGCUUAUUCUUCAUCUAGCUUUUUUUUUUUCCCCCACUCUGUAAGCGCUCAGAGGUGGUAAUAAAGCUUUUGUUUGCUGUUAAAUUGGACUUGGU
rnacentral:lncRNA from 1 species